CGAUCCGUACUGCCGAGGGUGUCGGUGAACAAGAUGGGCUUGGAGACAGACGGUGUGUUGGUUGCCGCAGGCCGGUUGAUCCUUCUCUGCAUUUUGAUCUCUCUUGAACCCUUCAAAUUCCCAUCUCCUUUGCUCGAGUUCUUGCAUUUGACCGCAUUGUCGGUGGAAUAAGCGUCUCUGGAUGCCCCUUGGACCUUGUUUCCGCUGGCUGUGAUCUUCGAGGGUUUAGGUGUUAUUUCAACUGUGAUCUGAAGCGGGAGCGGAGAUUGGAUAAUGGUGUCGUCCAAGUACAGUAAAGGGUGCACCGGGUGGUUGAUAGUGGCUGCAGUGGCGAUUCUCGUCGCCGUGGCAGCCGUGUUAACGAUCAAGGAGAAGCAUCACCACCACAGAGACGCCCUCCCAGUUCCCGGGCCACCCGGGGCCAUCGAUAAGAAGUAUGCUGAUGCUCUGGCAGUAGCUCUGCAGUUCUUCCAAAUUCAAAAAUCGGGUAAGUUAGUCGACAACAAGAUAUCUUGGAGAGGGGAUUCAGCUUUGGAUGAUGGAAAAGAAGCAGGAUUAGACCUAUCAAAAGGAAUGUAUGAUUCAGGGGAUCACAUUAAGUUUGGUUUUCCCAUGGCUUAUACUGCAACAUUGUUGUCAUGGUCUAUUCUGGAAUACGGUGACCAAAUGGAUGUUGUGAACCAGCUGCAGAUAGCGUUAGAUGCUCUCAAAUGGAUCACGGAUUAUUUGAUAAAUGCCCACCCUUCCGACAAUGUGCUAUACAUCCAGGUGGGUGAUCCUGAUUUAGACCACAAAUGUUGGGAAAGGCCAGAAACAAUGGCAGAAAAGAGGCCUCUUGUUCAAGUUAACAAAACUGCUCCAGGAACAGAUGUGGCAGCUGAAACAUCUGCUGCUAUGGCUGCAGCUUCCUUGGUCUUCAAAAAUAUUAACACAACCUAUUCAGAUUUGCUCCUUCAGCAUGCCCAGAAGUUAUUUACUUUUGCUGAUACCUACAGAGGUUCUUAUAGUGUCAGCAUUCCGAAAGUCCAGAAUUUCUACAACUCUACUAGUUAUGAGGAUGAACUCUUGUGGGCCGCUAGCUGGCUUUUUCAUGCCACUAGAGAUAAAACAUACCUAAGCUAUGUAACUGUGCAACAUGGAAAUGCUUUUGCUGACUGGGGAAGGCCAACAUGGUUCAGCUGGGAUGACAAACGGGCUGGAACUCAGGUUCUUUUGUCUAGGAUAAAAUUGUUUGGCUCUCAUCAAUCAUCAAAUGCAGAGAUGAAGGGUCUGCAAUUGUAUAGACAAACUGCUGAAGCAGUGAUGUGUGGUUUGUUGCCGGAUUCCCCUACGGCCACUUUUAGUAGAACAGAUGGUGGAUUGGUGUGGGUAGACAAGUGGAAUGCUCUUCAGCAUCCAGUUGCUGCUUCAUUCUUGGCUAUAGUUUACAGUGAUUACAUGCUUACCUCUCGGACGCCCGAACUCCAGUGCAGUGGAAAGACUUAUUCUCCUAAUGAUCUACGGAACUUUGCUGUAUCCCAGGCUGACUACAUCUUGGGUAAUAACCCAAUGAAGCUCAGUUACCUGGUAGGAUAUGGAACCAGCUAUCCUCAACAGGUUCACCAUAGGGGGGCAUCAAUUCCAGCUAAUGCCAAGACUGGUUGUGAUGGCUUCCAGUGGCUCAACUCGACAAAGUCGAACCCAAAUGUAGCCCUAGGAGGACUUGUGGGUGGGCCAUUUAAGAACGAUUCUUUCAUCGACAGCCGCAACAAUUCUAUGCAGACUGAGCCUAGUACCUACAACAAUGCAGUACUGGUUGGAUUGCUGUCUGGCCUGGUCACCACCUCUUCUGUGGUUACUUCUUUCCCUUAGGUUCUUCGUCACAAGCCAUGGCCUCUACACGUCAAAAUCUCGCAUUCAUAGCUAGCACUUUUCAAAUUUGAUCAUUGAGCGCCAGGCCUCUCUUAGAGACUCCAUUGGUGGGGAAGGAGGGACACUUUCCCUCACCGGAGAGGUUGAUUUUCUUUAUUGACGUGGAAGACUCAAGUCAUUGACGAAGGACGAAGGACGAAGGACGAAGGACGAAGGACGAAGGAGCUCCAGCAGCCCCUCCUCCUUAUCCCGUCAAAGGCGAACUUUUCUCUCUAAACGGGGUAGCAAGGGAAGAUAAAAGUUGACUAUUGCUCUAUAAUCAAUUAGUUCUUCAAAUUAGAGCCUUGGGCUAUGACAUCAACUGUUAGGAUUGAUGGUUCAGUUUGUUGAGACUAGUUACAGUGGAAGGAGUGAAUAGACAAUACACCUUAAAUGUAAAUCAAAGACAAUGCAAUUGGUAUAUAUUUGAGGGUGCA